GACGAACGCUGGCGGCGUGCUUAACACAUGCAAGUCGAGCGGUAAGGCCCUUUCGGGGGUACACGAGCGGCGAACGGGUGAGUAACACGUGGGUGACCUGCCCUCAGCUCUGGGAUAAGCCCGGGAAACUGGGUCUAAUACUGGAUAUGACUCCAUGACGCAUGUUGUGGGGUGGAAAGCCUUGUGCGGCUGAGGAUGGGCCCGCGGCCUAUCAGCUUGUUGGUGGGGNGAUGGCCUACCAAGGCGACGACGGGUAGCCGGCCUGAGAGGGCGACCGGCCACACUGGGACUGAGACACGGCCCAGACUCCUACGGGAGGGCAGCAGUGGGGAAUCUUGCGCAAUGGGCGAAAGCCUGACGCAGCGACGCCGCGUGAGGGAUGACGGCCU
rnacentral:rRNA from 1 species